rnacentral:tmRNA from 1 species
GGGGAUGCAACGGUUUCGACGGGGAUUUUGAAAGCCGGGAUAGCCAUUGGAGGUGGGAGACUCCUUAAAAGCCCAAAACUUUUUUAAAUAAUCGACAACGAUAAUUUAGCUUUAGCAGCUUAAUUUAAUGCUGCUCAUCAACCUCGGAUUUCUCGCAGUCCGAGAUGUUGGUGCCGACUUUUGCGGGGAACUUUUUGUACAAAGCUUUGAGUACAAAAAAGAUAUAUGAAGCUACCAAGAGUUAAAGCCUGUUUGUUGGCGUUAAUCCAAGGGAAUUAUUAAUAAACAAACUGUAAUGGGAGAAGUCCUGACCGACGGAUUUUCGGACAGGGGUUCGACUCCCCUCAUCUCCACU